rnacentral:rRNA from 1 species
CGAAGGAUGCAAGCGUUAUCCGGAUUCAUUGGGUUUAAAGGGAGCGUAGGUGGACUGAUAAGUCAGUGGUGAAAUCUCUGGGCUUAACCCAGAAAUUGCCAUUGAUACUGUUGGUCUUGGGUACAGUUGCUGUGGGCGGAAUAUGACAUGUAGUGGUGAAAUACAUAGAGAUGUCAUAGAACACCGAUUGCGAAGGCAGCUCACAAAGCUGUAACUGACACUGAGGCUCGAAAGUGCGGGGAUCAAACAGGAUUAGAUACCCUGGUAGUCCGCACUGUAAACGAUGAUUACUCGCUGCUAGAUGGCAACAUUUAGUGGCUUAGCGAAAGCGAUAAGUAAUCCACCUGGGGAGUACGCCGGCAACGGUG